UAAGGAAUAUUGGACAAUGGUCGCAAGACUGAUCCAGCCAUGCCGCGUGCAGGAAGACGGCCCUAUGGGUUGUAAACUGCUUUUGUACCAGAGAAAACCUAUCUACGUGUAGAUAGCUGAUAGUAUGGUAAGAAUAAGCAUCGGCUAACUUCGUGCCAGCAGCCGCGGUAAGACGAAGGAUGCAAGCGUUAUCCGGAUUCAUUGGGUUUAAAGGGUGCGUAGGCGGGCUUGUAAGUCAGUGGUGAAAUCUCUCAGCUUAACUGAGAAACUGCCAUUGAUACUGCAGGCCUAGAGUAUAGAUGACGUUGGCGGAAUAUGACAUGUUGUGGUGAAAUACUUAGAUAUGUCAUAGAACACCGAUUGCGAAGGCAGCUAACGAAACUAUAACUGACGCUGAGGCACGAAAGUGCGGGGAUCAAACA
rnacentral:rRNA from 1 species